GCGCGCGCGCGCGCGCGAGCAAAUGAACGAGCGAGCGAGCGAGCGAGGACUACCUACGUAUUUCGAUGGCUACGCCUCGACACAUCGGACCCCAACCCACGCACCCAUUGUCUUCCCUUUCGGAGACAGACGGCGCGUGACGUAAGGACGAAGGACGGAGGGGGAGAAAGAGAGAGAGAGAGAGAGAGAGAGCCGAAGGGGAAAACUUAUGUGAUUGCUGCCCUAGUCUCGCUAAGUUCAAAGGGUUGUACCCGCGCAGUUAGAAGGAGCGAGACGCCUUUUCGAUACAUUCUUCGAAGAAAACAUUCUCUCCCAUUGCUCUCCCGUCGCGGAAGAUCAAAUAUCUCUUCAAGAGGCUUCGCGUUGUGAGAAGCCACUUCAUCCGGCGUUAUCAUCAUCUGAAACCUCUCGACAAUAAUUAUCCCGGGAAUUAUAUCGCAAAAUGGAAACCCACUCCAGCCGGAAUACACUCGCAAUUAAGUGAACGACGAGCUUCUUUUCUUCUUUCGAAGAAAGCUUCUGGCGAAACUCUACAUCUUUAUUCCGAUGAAAACAACGGCUCCUCGUGAAUAUUCACUA